AUGUAUGUAUUUCUACAUAUGCAUCUUUUGUGAGAAUUUAUAUUCAAAAUAAUACUUCCAUAAAUGAUAAAAAUGAUUAUUUACUCACUCUUAUGCUGUCUGACUUACGCUGUCUUAUGCUGUCACCCUGCAGCUUUCUCCUGGUUUCCCACUGAAGCUAAGCAGGGUUGAGCCUGGCCAGUAUCCUGAUGGGAGAUGGGAGUUUCCUGGGGAAAACUAUGGUUGCUGCUGGAAGUGGUAUUAGUGAGGCCAGCAGGGGGUGCUCACCCUGUGGUCUGUUUGGGGCCUAAUGCCCCAGUAUAGUGACUCUAGCGUAAAAACAGUACUGUCUUUCGGAUGAGAUGUUGGAUGUCGGAUAGUCCUGACUUUCUGUGGUCAUUAAAAGUCCCAGGACACUUAUCGUAAAAGAUUAGGGGUAUAACGCCGUGUCCUGGCAAAAUUCCCCCAUCCCUGAAUCGGCUACAUCAAUCUCUCCUCUGCACCAACUACUGGUGUGUGGUGGUCUUUCUGGUGCACUAUGGCUGUAGUCACAUCAUCCAGGUGGAUGCUGCACACUGGUGGUGGUUGAGGAAAUUUCCCCCCCAUACAGUAUUAAGUGCUUUGAGUGUCUAGAAAAGCGCUAUAUAAAUAAUUUUUAUUGGAAAUUUGCAUUUUACACAUUAUAACACCACACCCAACAACCCCAACAAAACAACCACAGCCAAAACCAAAAGAAAGGGGGAAACAAAAGACAAUAACAAACAAACAUUCAAAGAAAAAACACACAAAAAAAAAGAAGUAACGAUGUCAUACAAGUUUAAGAUGGCAAAUGGGUGAGUAAAUGAUGAGAGGAUUGUCAUUUGGCUAAACUAUUCAUUUAACAAAACAAAUUAAAUAGAAAUAUUUAACAUUAAAUAAACAUGAUAAACAUAUCUCAAUAAUUAAAGAACAUACGAACUCACAAUGGUAUAAAAAAAAAUUUUUUUAAAAAGAUCAAAUUCAGUUAGAGUCAUAGCCUUGCUCUAAAAUAUGGUGUUGACUUGAGUGACGGUGACUUGAGUUUAAGUCUUAGCUUGUGAGGUGUUUUCCUGAUCCCAUUCACACUCUUCUCCCCUGUCAUUAUCUCUGCUGUUAGAUAAAGCCAAAUUGCAAUAAAAUAAUGUUGGGGAAAAAAGGAAGAAAGAAAAUCUAAUUAAGUGAGAAAAUACUGCCCCUUUAUGGAAAAGGUUUUGACUUUUCCACCUGUAAACUGAAAAAGAAGCCAUGAAAAAGGAAUACAUGAAAGCAGUGAAAUGAAUGAUUUGCUUGCAUUUUCUCAUUGGUAAGUCGCUUUGGAUAAAAAUGUCUGCUAAAUGAAUAAAUGUAAAUGUAUGUCAACUAUUUACUAUUAAUAGUAGAAAGUCGUCCAUUUAACAGCUCUGGACCAGAUCAUGACUAAUGUGAUUUUUCCUUGAACUUAAAACAACACAGUUGAAAGCAAAUUCAGGUAUAUGGGGCAACAACAGCAAUAUACCUUUAUAUGAUAUAAUGUACACAUUAUAAACAAUGUAGAAAAGCCAUUUACCUCCUAUGUGAUGUCAAACGAAAUGUUGUGCCACCUUCUUCCUUUUCUUCUCUUUGUUGUCUAUUAGUUCAGGCUCAUCAGAUUCACUCAAUCUUGGUGAUGAGGAGGUGGUGUUAUCAUUGUGAUCAUUGUGGUGGACUUCUUGUUUCGCUGAAAAUAAAUAAACAACAGUGUAGCAUUGCAUUUUUUAAUUAUCAUCACUUUUUAGGAAUGUGAUGGAAAAUUUUAAGUCAUUUAGGAGCCUUACAGCUUUUUACAGCGAAUGGCACUGAAAAAAUGGUAAGUCUAUCCCGCCAGCCUCGCUUUCAUACCGGUCAUGACAUUGCUCUGAGGUCUAUUGAGUGAAAAAUAAGUGUUUACAAAGUUGGAAUCAGCUACUGUACUCGUGAUUUGUGUUGAAAGCAAAUGAAAUGCACAGUUGCACCUCUAGUGCUCAUUUCAUUUGGAAAUUUCAAAUUGUACAUACAGUCAGGUUUGACGCGUUUUGCAAAAGCAUGGGCAGAGUAAUGCUGUCACAAUGAGCCAGUGUUUAAAAAAAUAACUAAAGCUGUUAUCCAAAGCUAAUAGCACUCAGCAUCCAUACAAGUGAAAUCAAUAAAAAUGCAGGAAAUUUAAAAAGUCUGAUGUGUUACAUUGCUUGUAUGUAAUAAAUAUUGCACACACAGCAUGGAACAUCAUAUUAUUAUACUCACCAACUUCUUGUCCUUUGGCUUUCCCAAGAAGCUGUUCUCAGAGAAAAUUGCUUUGAUUUUCUAGCUCUCGGGUUAUUAUUUUCUUGCCACUUUAUUUUUUCUUCCAGAAAUUCUACCUUCAUUUUCAAGGAAAAAUGCCUAGAAACAAAAUAUGCAAAAGGAAUACUAGCAAACUAACAAUUAAUACUGGACACAAAUACAAGUAGUUAAUUGCUAUUUGUGACAUAGACAAAAUGACAACAUACUAGUAUCAGAACCCUGGCUGCUGCAGCUUGGUAAAGAAGGUUCAUUUUCCUCCAGAUCAUUAGGUGUUGCACUUUUGGAGCUCUCCAGAAUGGACUCCUGCUGCUUGUGCUGUUGCUUAAACUUACAUUUUAGCUGUAUAAAAGGUCACAGGAAUUUACUUUAAUUUUAUUAACCCUAUUACCUCAUAACCCCAGAAAAGUUUGGAAAUUUUGUAAAAUGCAAUUAAAAAAAAAAAAAAAUGUGAUUUGUUUAUUCCAUUUGAUGUUUAAUUUACUGACAAAGGUGCAAAAAAAGAAAGAAAAUUCCACUGUUUUCACUGUCCAAUUUAACUGUAUUUGUAAAUAUACAACUUAAGCAAUAAAGUUUUGUCUUAAUCUCAUUUUAAUUGCCAGUGGGUUGGCAAGUUACUGUAACACUUAUACAACUGUCAAACAGUCCUUUCUGCUAAGUUUAGACCAUCACCUUCAGUAUAAAAUAUUUGUAAAUCUUACUCUAUGGAAUACUCUAGUCGUUUUACAUUUCUUAUAUCAGUCUACUGUCUCAUCAUUCAUGCAUAAUUUUAAAUCAAUACAAGUAUUUAAUAAUGUACAAUCAGCUUGAUUCUAAUCACCCUGCUUAUUUUGUGAUGACAGGCUGAGUGUAUGUUAUCAAAUACAUAACAACUUGGUUAUUAAAACACCAGGACCAUAGAAUGUUUUAUACCUAAAUAUCUCAAAUAAAUAAAUAAAUAAAUAAAUCUUUUUAACUAAACAAGUGAUGCAAAUUUUGGGCACUCUUGGUUGCAUUGAUUAGAUGCAAGCAAGCUAUCAUUAGUUAAGGAUAUGUAGACUAAUUGAAACACUAUAUGGAUGUAAAUUACCUUUAAAACAAACAACAACAACAAAGCUUAAACUUAACCAUGAAAAAGUUUAUUUUUCAAGAGCUUGAAGCUCUUCUUUGUCCGUUCUUGACUGAUUGAUUGCUGCGUCUGAUUGGACAGGAAGUGCAUGGGUUAGUGGGGUAGCCUCUCUUUCUCUCUGUCUCAAUUUACAAUGUCAAAGUGCCCUACUUUAGUACCUUAUUAUUGGCUUAAUUGUUUACAAUGUAAUGUACUGUAAUGUCAUGUGAAUUGGAGCAAUGGCCUAUAUUAUUUAUAUAUAUUAUUUAUUAUAUCAUAUAAUAUUUUGUAUAUUAUAUAAUUAUAUGUAUAUAAUACAUUAUAUGUACAGUAUUAUAUUAGUUUUAAAUGAAAUUUUAGUGUAAUGUUUUAUUAAUAGGAAUUUAUUUGUUCAGUUUAAUGUUGAGAAUGCAACCCUAAUUGCUGCAUGAUUCUUUGAGUUAUUCAGCUGUUAGAAUAAUUCAAGCCUAUUAAAACUCAAACUUGAUUCAGAGUUCUACAGGAAACACUGUUCUUAAAUAUAAUUUGCGUUCUUAUUCAAUAUUCUUAAUUCAGUAUAUCACCUGUCUUUAAACUACGUAUUUGCUUAGAAAGUAUUACAUGUUUAAAUCAUUUUGGUGUUGUGAAACUAGUAUGCUCAUUUUAAUUCUGUUGUCCUCUGCUACGGUGUGUCGAGACAAAUGCCACAGGAAAUCUUAUAGCGAGAGCAUCUGAAGUGGCACAAUAUUUUCCAAGUCUCAUCUCAGCCUCCGGACAUGGAUGCGUUUCAUUUACACAUUUUCACAAGGACUCGGGUUACGGCAAGUGGACAUGCUACAGGAAGGCAUCACUGGAAGCUCUUCCACACUGACUAAACUUGCUUAUCGUCUGCGUGGAGUCUGCAAAUCUUCAAUUAAAAGAAUGAAGAAAAGAGGUGACCUGAAAAUUGGAAAAAUUGGACACUCAUUAUUUAAACUGUGCCAAACAGGAACUGCAUACUCCAGCACAGGGGGCACAUAUCCUGUAUAGAUGGUAACCAGUUUAGAGUCUCAGACACCACAUUUAUUUAACCGAUGGAGAACAAAAAGCUUUUGGCUGGCCGAGGUCAACAUGUGAUCCACUUGACUAUCCCAUAUCAAGUCACUCUGGAUGGUGACCCCCAGAACUUUAAUGGACAAGCGGGUACCUGUCUCAUACUAGUGGCAUGUAAAACCUUGCAUUUCUUUGGCUUGACUUUCAUUUUGUACUCCUUUAUCCAAACAUGAAGACCAUUCAAUUGAGGAUUCCACCUCUGAGCCGUGGUCAUGUCAUGCACAUAUUUCCAGUGGUCUAUUUCAUCCUGGAGUGCACUGUUGAUCAGUGAUAGAAAGAUUAUGGGCCCUAAUAUAGUUCCCUGUGCGACUCCACAUGAGAAGUAUUCCCAAUCAGAAAAAUAUCCCUGAUAACGCACUUUCUGACGAAUGUUGGUCAUAAAACUACAAAUCCAUGGAAUAAAGCCAGG